CCUACGGGAGGCAGCAGUGGGGAAUAUUGCACAAUGGGGGAAACCCUGAUGCAGCGACGCCGCGUGAGUGAAGAAGUAUCUCGGUAUGUAAAGCUCUAUCAGCAGGGGAGAAAAUGACGGUACCUGAUUAAGAAGCCCCGGCUAACUACGUGCCAGCAGCCGCGGUAAUACGUAGGGGGCAAGCGUUAUCCGGAUUUACUGGGUGUAAAGGGAGCGUAGACGGCAGGACAAGUCCGGAGGGAAAUGCCGGGGGUUAACCCCGGAACCGCUUUUGAAACUGUGCAGCUAGAGUGCAGGAGAGGUAAGUGGAAUUCGUGGUGUAGCGGUGAAAUGCGUAGAUAUUACGAAGAACACCAGUGGCGAAGGCGGCUUACUGGACUCUAACUGACGUUGAGGCUCGAAAGCGUGGGGAGCAAACAGGAUUAGAUACCCUUGUAGUC
rnacentral:rRNA from 1 species